UACAACCGGAACUACGUGUUCG
rnacentral:misc_RNA from 1 species